rnacentral:rRNA from 1 species
CCCGGCACGGGGAGGUAGAUGACAAAAAAUAACGAUACGGGACUCAUCCGAGGCCCCGUAAUCGGAAUGAGUACACUUUAAAUCCUUUCAUGAGGAUCCAUUGGAGGGCAAGCCUGGUGCCAGCAGCCGCGGUAAUUCCAGCUCCAAUAGCGUAUAUUAAAGUUGUUGCGGUUAAAAAGCUCGUAGUUGGUUCUGUGUGCCAUGCUGUUGGUUCACCGCCUGUCGGUGCAACUAACAUGUCAUGGAACGUCUUGUCGGUGGUAAUUAAAGACUUAUUAUUCAAUAAAGGUUUUACUUUUAUUGAAUGUAAGUUCCUUUAAUUACCGAUUAGUUCCUACCGCGGUGCUCUUCAUUGAGUGUCGAGGUCGGCCGACAAGUUUACUUUGAACAAAUUAGAGUGCUUAAAGCAGGCAAAAGUCUGCCUUGAAUAGUGGUGCAUGGAAUAAUAGAAUAGGAUCUUGGUUCUAUUUUGCUGGUUUUCUGAAUCCAAGGUAAUGAUCAAUAUGGACAGGCGGGGGCAUUCGUAUUGCGACGUUAGAGGUGAAAUUCUUGGAUCGUCGCAAGACGAACUAGAGCGAAAGCAUUUGCCAAGUAUGUCUUAAUUGAUCAAGAACGAAAGUUAGAGGUUCGAAGGCGAUCAGAUACCGCCCUAGUUCUAACCAUAAACGAUGCCAGCUAGCGAUCCGCCGAUGUUUUUCUCAUGACUCGACGGGCAGCUCCCCGGGAAACCAAAGCUUUUGGGUUCCGGGGGAAGUAUGGUUGCAAAGCUGAAACUUAAAGGAAUUGACGGAAGGGCACCACCAGGAGUGGAGCUUGCGGUUUAAUUUGACUC